UCCAUCUACACAACCUUUCAUUCAGCACUGCACAAAAAACUUUCCCUACUGUGUUUACAAGGGAGAUUGGUCUGUAAUUCUUAAGGGCCUAAUAAAUAGUUUUGAAGUUAUUUAAGUUAGUCUGAUGCGUUUGGAGGCAAUAGAUAAGGAGGAAGUGUUGGCGUCGAGGUAAAUAUUGUUAGGCCCGCCGCCCUUCCUGCCUCCCGCCUGUGCCUGCCUCCCGCCGUGUUGGGGAAUGGCUGCACCUUUUUGUGAAUGUCUCGCUGGGAACGCCGGGAAGCCUGGCAUGGCGGGCAGGAGCAGGAACAGCAGGGACGGGGCCAGCAGGAGGAGGAGGAGCAGAGGUGAGAGGAGACUCCUGGCCGGCUGCGGCAGGAAAGGUGUGCACAGGUGUGUUUGUCCCCAGUACUCACAGGUGUGUAAGUUGUCCCCAGUACUCACAGGUGUGUAAGUUGUCCCCGGUACUCACAGGUGUGUAAGUUGUCCCCAGUACUCACAGGUGUGUAAGUUGUCCCCAGUACUCACAGGUGUGUAAGUUGUCCCCGGUACUCACAGGUGUGUAAGUUGUCCCCAGUACUCACAGGUGUGUAAGUUGUCCCCAGUACUCACAGGUGUGUAAGUUGUCCCCGGUACUCACAGGUGUGUAAGUUGUCCCCAGUACUCACAGGUGUGUAAGUUGUCCCCAGUACUCACAGGUGUGUAAGUUGUCCCCAGUACUCACAGGUGUGUAAGUUGUCCCCAGUACUCACAGGUGUGUAAGUUGUCCCCAGUACUCACAGGUGUGUAAGUUGUCCCCAGUACUCACAGGUGUGUAAGUUGUCCCCAGUACUCACAGGUGUGUAAGUUGUCCCCAGUACUCACAGGUGUGUAAGUUGUCCCCUGUACUCACAGGUGUGUAAGUUGUCCCCAGUACUCACAGGUGUGUAAGUUGUCCCCGGUACUCACAGGUGUGUAAGUUGUCCCCGGUACUCACAGGUGUGUAAGUUGUCCCCGGUACUCACAGGGGUUAAGAUUCGUUUUGGGUCCGUGCCAGUAUCUCAUUACCUACCUUAUGAAACAUCAGUAUCUCUUCAUAUAUCUUUUCUACAAACCUUCAACAGUCAUGGAAACGCUUUGAAAAUCCAAUUCAAGGACUUUUUUUUUACUCUUGAAAAUAUGGGAUAAUGUUUACGAAAG